rnacentral:rRNA from 1 species
UACAGAGGAUGCAAGCGUUAUCCGGAAUGAUUGGGCGUAAAGCGUCUGUAGGUGGCUUUUUAAGUCCGCCGUCAAAUCCCAGGGCUCAACCCUGGAAAGCCGGUGGAAACUGUCGAGCUAGAGUCCGGAAGAGGCGAGUGGAAUUCCUGGUGUAGCGGUGAAAUGCGCAGAUAUCAGGAGGAACACCAAUGGCGAAGGCAGCUCGCUGGGACGGUACUGACGCUGAGACGCGAAAGCGUGGGGAGCAAACAGG